rnacentral:sRNA from 1 species
UCAUAGCCCUGAUAGAAGUGGUAUCCUUUUAAUGGUUUUUUUGCCAGAAAAAGAUACAAGCGUCCCGAGGCUUCGGGAGCAGGAAUAGCU